CGUAGGUGGCGAGCGUUGUCCGGAAUUAUUGGGCGUAAAGGGCGCGUAGGCGGCUCUUUAAGUCAGAUGUGAAAACCCAGGGCUUAACUCUGGGAGUGCAUUUGAAACUGAAGAGCUCGAGUGCAGGAGAGGUAAGUGGAAUUCCUAGUGUAGCGGUGAAAUGCGUAGAUAUUAGGAGGAACACCAGUGGCGAAGGCGACUUACUGGACUGUAACUGACGCUGAGGCGCGAAAGCGUGGGGAGCAAACAGGAUUAGAUACCCUGGUAGUCCACGCUGUAAACGAUGGAUACUAGGUGUGGGAGGUAUCGACCCCUUCCGUGCCGCAGUUAACGCAAUAAGUAUCCCGCCUGGGGAGUACGGCCGCAAGGUUG
rnacentral:rRNA from 1 species